rnacentral:rRNA from 1 species
GCUCAGAACGAACGCUGGCGGCAGGCUUAACACAUGCAAGUCGAGCGAGACCUUCGGGUCUAGCGGCGGACGGGUGAGUAACGCGUGGGAACGUGCCCUUCUCUACGGAAUAGCCCCGGGAAACUGGGAGUAAUACCGUAUACGCCCUUUGGGGGAAAGAUUUAUCGGAGAAGGAUCGGCCCGCGUUGGAUUAGGUAGUUGGUGAGGUAACGGCUCACCAAGCCGACGAUCCAUAGCUGGUUUGAGAGGAUGAUCAGCCACACUGGGACUGAGACACGGCCCAGACUCCUACGGGAGGCAGCAGUGGGGAAUCUUAGACAAUGGGGGCAACCCUGAUCUAGCCAUGCCGCGUGAGUGAUGAAGGCCUUAGGGUUGUAAAGCUCUUUCAGCUGGGAAGAUAAUGACG